rnacentral:rRNA from 1 species
AGUUUGAUCCUGGCUCAGGAUGAACUCUGGCGGCGUGCCUGAGAUAUGCAAGUCGAGCGAAGUCCCGAUCGCAAGAUCGGGGUUCAGCGGCAGACGGCUGAGUAAUGCAUAGGUAUUUGCCCCUUUCUAGGAAAUAGCCCCGCGAAAGCGGGGGUAAUCGCCUAUGAUUCCCGACUUUAAGUUGGGAUAAAGAAAGUAACUUUUUGGAGAGGGAUAAGCCUAUGUCCUAUCAGGUAGUUGGUAGGGUAACGGCCUACCAAGCCUAUUACGGGUAGCUGGCCCGAGAGGGUGGUCAGCCAGAGGGGUACUGAGACACGGACCCCACUCCUACGGGAGGCAGCAAUCAGGAAUAGUCGGCAAUGGGCGAAAGCCUGACCGCGCGACGCCGCGUGCGAGAAGAAGCUCUUAUCGAGUGUAAAUCGCUGUGGUAGGGGAAGAAGGGCAGCUUAGCUGUCUUGACGGUACCCUAUUAGAAAGUAGCCGCUAACUGCGUGCCAGAAGCGUCGGUAAUACGUGGGCUACAAGCGUUAUCCGGUUUUAUUGGGCGUAAAGGGUCGUGUAGGCGUCUUAACAAGUUUUUACUUAAAGACUAAGGCUUAACCUUAACAAAAGUAAAAAUACUGUUAGGAUUGAGUUAUCUUUAGGGAGACUGGAACUUAGGGAGGAGUAGUGAAAUGCGUUGAUACCCUAGGGAACACCAGUGGCGAAGGCGAGUCUCUGAAAGGUAACUGACGCUGAGACACUAAAGCUAGGGGAGCGAAGCAGAUUAGAGACCUGCGUAGUCCUAGCCCUAAACGCAUGUUUGCUAGCUGCAUUUGUUUAACCGUAAGGUUUAAACUUGUGUGGCGCAGGUAACCCGUUAAGCAAACCGCCUGGGGAGUACGACCGCAAGGUUAAAACUCAAAGGAAUUGGCGGGGAGGCACACAACCAGUGGAACAUGUGGUUCAAUUCGAUACAAACCGAAGAACCUCACCAAGACUUGACAUCCUAGCGUUCUAUUUCAUAGAAAUAUGGAAAAUCCGUAAGGAGGCUAGGACAGGUGCUGCAUGGCUGUCGUCAGUUCGUUCCGUGAGGAGUACCCUUAAGUGGGACAACGAACGCAACCCCUAUUCUGUGUUAUAUUUGUCACAGAAGACAGCCUCGACAUUUGUCGGGGAGGAAGGAGGGGCAGACGUCAAGUCAGCAUGGUCCUUAUGUCUUGGGCAACACACAUGUUACAAUGAAAAGAACAACGAGUCUUGCCACUUAGCAAUAAGGAGCAAAUCUCUUAAAUCUUUUCUCAGUGGGGAUUGAGGUCUGCAACUCGACCUCAUGAACGCGGAAUUGGUAGUAAUCGCGGAUCAGUCAUGCCGCGGUGAAUACGUUCUUGCCUCUUGCACACACCGCCCGUCAAGCCAACAAAGUCGGGAUAAUUUGAACCCCGCCUUUGGCGGGGGAGAAUUAUUUCGGCGAUGGGGGUUAAGUCGUAACAAGGUAACC